CCUCUGUUGUAAGCUCAGCUUUGAUGAGUGGAAUUUAAAUCUUGGAGGCUAGGAAGCCAUAGAAACAACCCAAGGACCUUAGUCUACAGGAAACCAUGAAUUCUUGCAAGUUGGCUAGGUUAUGGAGUCUUAUGUGUUUAGGUUGAUUAGGAACAACAUCGAUAUUAUUAUUUGGUGAUUCGAUGCUAUUGAUCUUGUUGUUUAGAGCUUGUUUAUGGCUAGAAAAUAGUAUUUGGUGAAUUGAUGUUGUUGUAGGAUGUGUGUGAACAUAUAGAGCCAAAUUUAACCACAUGCAUGUGCUUAGUUCUUGGUAUCAUUCUGUUUUAUAUGUGAUUUAAACACAUGCAUGUGUUAUAUGACGAUCGGGAAGUCUGGACAUCGGUAAUGUCAUCGGUUUAGACCUUUAGGUUCCCGAUACUCUUUGGUAAUGUCCCAAAUGGCCUAGGAAUGACCUCAAAUAUCAUAUACCACUACCAAUGUUCUGUUAAUGUG
rnacentral:lncRNA from 1 species